AUUGAAAGAACAGAUAUUUGAAGCAUCCCAGCACACCUGACCUUAAUGCCAGGAACUGGAGUGCUUGAAGGAGCUGCAGACAGAUUAGCAGCUGGUAAUCCAUUAAAAUGGAUAAAAACACUUGGAAGCUCUGUGAUUUCAAUGAAGAUUGUGCUUUUAAUCUGUGUUAUUUGUAUAGUCUGCAGAUGUGGAUCCUGACUCUGCAAGAAGUAGCUCACCGUAACAAAGCUGCCUUUGCUUUUAUCACUUUGCAAAACAAAUAAAGGGGACACGUUGGGAACAGGCCCCCCAAUGUGGCCAUAAACUGUCCCCAAAACUGGCCAUAAACAAAAUCUCUGCAGCACUCUGACAUGCUCUUGAUGGCCAUGAUGCCCACGCUGGAAGGUUGUCGGUUUACUGGAAUGAGGGCAAGGGACACCUGGCCCACCCAGGGUGGAAAACUGUUUAAGGCAUUCUUAAACCACAAACAAUAGCAUGAGCGAUCUGUGCCUUAAGGACAUUUUCCUGCUGCAGAUAACUAGCCAGAGCCCAUCCCUUUGUUUCCCCGUAAGGAAUACUUUUAGUAAAUCUUAUCACUGGCUUGCUGUCAAUAAAUAUGUGGGUAAAUCUCUGUUCGAGGCUCUCAGCUCUGAAGGCUGUGAGACCCCUGACUUCCCACUUCACAUGCUGUAUUUCUGUGUGUGUGUCUUUAAUUCCUCUAGCACCACUGGGUUAGGGUCUCCACAACCGAGCUGGUCUUGGCAGUAAAUACUGAAAAGGAAUAGAUACAAUUGCCAUUAUUUACAGAUAGAAUUUCCAAACAAUUCCCAGGGAAUAAACUGAAAAACUAACAGAAACAAAACAAGAAUGUAGUAAGGUGUCUGGAUAAGAGAUUUGUAUCUAAAAAUCAGUAGCUUUACAAUGUGCCAGCAGUAGUCUGCUCAGACAUCAGUAAAUAUCUCAUUCACAUUUCAAAAAAAAUUGAAAAUGCCCUGAAAUAAUGUAACCAGAAAUACGAAAAAAAGGAUAUGAAAACGUGGCUGCUAAUGGACAUGAAAAAAUGUAAUACUAGAUUCUGAGAUGCAAUUUUUUUCAUUUGUUCUUCCUGAAAAAUCAUUAGGUUGAUGUGCAUUACAGUGUUACGAUUAUGUAUGAGUCUAAGGAAAAUCAGAUGAAAUUUCCAAAUUAAACCAUGAAGGUGCAUUGGUAGAGGAAGAGACAAUUAGGGUCAGUGGAGCAAAGCACAGUUAGAGGGAGAAGCAAGGAGGAGGAGGGAUCACUGAGGUGGUGCCUCUCUGUCCCACAGGAAGCAAAAGCUGACGCCUAGUUCCCAGCAUACCUAAGUAAACUUCAGGUCCACUGCAUAGCAUGUCUCAUCACAGUAAAACUAUGAAGGAACUCAGUGUACAAGGAGCUUCUACAAGAUAGGCAGAAGACAGUAGCCAGAUGGGCCAAGGGCCCCAGCCACCCACGCCCCUCCCUCUCCUUGAAGACGUGCGGCUCCAACACCACCAUCACCAGGGCUCUGCUCAGCUCCUCCUAGUGUGUAUCACCACAGGGCUGCUGGCUUGUGUCACGUUCACCACCAGACCCCGCGUCAGGAGUCCCGCCAGGGGUGUGGGGAGGCAGCGCUGCCUGGUUGGCCGCGGAGCUGUAUGGAACAUGGUGCCUCACAGGCAGUCUGCUUGGCGUCCUGGACCCUGGCUGUAUCCCGCUGGAAAGGAUGUGUGUGGGUCUAAGAUGUUCAAUGCAAAAUCAUGCUGCCGUGUUCCGUGUGGGAAGCGUGUUGCAAGAAGGUUGUGGGAAAAUCAGCAAGCUCUAUGGAGACCUAAAGCACCUGAAGACGUUCGACCGGGGAAUGGUCUGGAACACGGACCUGGUGGAGACCCUGGAGCUGCAGAACCUGAUGCUGUGUGCGCUGCAGACCAUCUACGGAGCAGAGGCGCGGAAGGAGUCACGGGGCGUGCAUGCCAGGGAAGACUACAAGGUGCGGAUUGAUGAGUACGAUUACUCCAAGCCCAUCCAGGGGCAACAGAAGAAGCCCUUUGAGGAGCACUGGAGAAAGCACACCCUGUCGUAUGUGGACGUUGGCACUGGGAAGGUCACUCUGGAAUAUAGACCCGUAAUCGACAAAACUUUGAACGAGGCUGACUGUGCCACCGUCCCGCCAGCCAUUCGCUCCUACUGAUGAGACAAGAUGUGGUGAUGACAGAAUCAGCUUUUGUAAUUAUGUAUAAUAGCUCAUGCAUGUGUCCAUGUCAUAACUGUCUUCAUACGCGUCUGCACUCUGGGGAAGAAGGAGUACAUUGAAGGGAGAUUGGCACCCAGGCUGGGAGCUUGCCAGGAACCCAGUGGCCAGGGAGCGUGGCAGUUACCUUUGUCCCUUGCUUCAUUCUUGUGAGAUGAUAAAACUGGGCACAGCUCUUAAAUAAAAUAUAAAUGAAC
rnacentral:sRNA from 1 species